CUCUUCAUACAACAUGCCACAGUCACCCCAGCACUGCUCUCUAUGCUUCGAGGGCUUUCUGACUAACAUUCACACACAUCCAUACGACCAACUGGCCCAAGGAUAUUUGGCAUGCAGACAAGGGGAACCAGGGAUUGAACCACCAACCCUCCGAUCAGCAGAUGAUCUGACCAGAGGUGUCCGGAGUAAGGAGAGACUGAGAAGCUGAGAAGAGACGGAGGCUCUCCACCCCUGAUGAAGCACCAGCACAGAUCCAGGACAGUAUGUGAGGAAGAGGAGCCAGCAGAGGAGAACAGACAGCUGUUCUCUGUAAUUGAGGGACUGCAUGUCUUUAUCCUGUCUUCCUUCUCUCACCCCAACCGGUCGCAGCAGAUGGCCCCGCCCCUCCCUGAGCCUGGUUCUGCCGGAGGUUUCUUCCUGUUAAAAGGGAGUUUUUCCUUCCCACUGUCGCCAAAGUGCUGCUCAUAGGGGGUCAUAUGAUUGUUGGGUUUUUCUCUGUAUCUAUGAAGCGCCUUGAGGCGACUUUUGUUGUGAUUUGGCGCUAUAUAAAUAAUAUUGAAUUGAAUUGAAUUGUAAGAAUAUAAGCAAAAACCUGUACAGAGGAUUAUGUGUGUCCUGUUGGCACCUUCUAAACAUCACAGAGUAGCAUCAUCCUUACCACCAGCUGGGGGCAUUAGAUCGUAGAACUCUAAAAUCUCUUUCUUUCUUUCAAACAUUAAAAAUGACAAACC
ensembl:lncRNA